rnacentral:lncRNA from 1 species
GGUUGAGUGAACACGUAAUACCUAAUUCCCAGAGAGCAAAUAGUACUUUAAUAGUUUCAGGAUUCUGAUGAGUUGUUCCUCUGAAAGAAUUUAUCAGCAGCAUCACCAUAUUCUAUUAUUAAUGUGAACUUUAAAGAGUUAGUUUGACCUUCAUGAUAGUUCUUUUGUAAGAUGAAGUCACUGGCUAAUUAAAAGAAGAAAUUGUCUUAAUCGUUCUUGAGACUGGAUGGAAUGUAAGUUUAUACAUAUGUAGUAGACCACAAGUUACUUAAGGGCACUCAUGAUUAAAAUGAGGAUUUCCUCUUUGACAAGGCUCUUCAAGUUUUUACUUUUUCUUAAGAUGUUAAAUAUCAACUUUAUAAUCUUGCUAGGAAAGAGAAAAUAGAAUGUGAGAGAUUAGAACAGAAUAUUCUAUAUUGGAAUAAAAGGUAAGCUGAAGAACAUUUUAAUGACUGUUUUACUUGCCUGUUUUAUGUAUAAUUGCACUGGGCCAGUGCUUCCUGACUUUUUAUUUUCAAAAAUAUCCCUGGCACUCUUGACAACUAGUGUAUUUUUAGUGCCUGGUAAUUAAGAAAAUG